rnacentral:lncRNA from 1 species
GGAAUAUUAAAACCUACGUGCGACUUUUGACUUUGCUGUUUGUCUUUCCUUAUGUAGCUGUAUCCUUUAAUUCAGGUACACCAGGAAAGAAUGAGAUAAUAAUACAGGUAGCAUGCAGAUGACAUGGUCAGGCCUACUAAAGUCAGCAUGGGCAUGGGUAUACUGCACUUGAUGGGAGGCUGCCGUAGCCUUUUUACUGCCAACAAAUCCAAAGUUCUUUCAAGUAUGUUGUAG